CGUUGUCCGGAUUAUUGGGCGUAAAGCGCGCGCAGGCGGAUCAGUCAGUCUGUCUUAAAAGUUCGGGGCUUAACCCCGUGAUGGGAUGGAAACUGCUGAUCUAGAGUAUCGGAGAGGAAAGUGGAAUUCCUAGUGUAGCGGUGAAAUGCGUAGAUAUUAGGAAGAACACCAGUGGCGAAGGCGACUUUCUGGACGAAAACUGACGCUGAGGCGCGAAAGCCAGGGGAGCGAACGGGAUUAGAUACCCCGGUAGUCCUGGCCGUAAACGAUGGGUACUAGGUGUAGGAGGUAUCGACCCCUUCUGUGCCGGAGUUAACGCAAUAAGUACCCCGCCUGGGGAGUACGACCGCAAGGUUGAAACUCAAAGGAAUUGACGGGGGCCCGCACAAGCGGUGGAGUAUGUGGUUUAAUUCGACGCAACGCGAAGAACCUUACCAGGUCUUGACAUUGAUGGACAGAACUAGAGAUAGUUCCUCUUCUUCGGAAGCCAGAAAACAGGUGGUGCACGGUUGUCGUCAGCUCGUGUCGUGAGAAG
rnacentral:rRNA from 1 species